AUGAGAGGGUGGAGGUGCAGCGGGUCAGAGCGGAGAGAUGGAGGCUCGGAUGGAGGGAUGGAAACAAAGAGAAGAGUGAGAGGACUCGGUCCACGGAGACAAAGACUCGGCCCACGGAGACAAGGACUCAGUCCACAGGAGACAAAGACUCGGUCCACGGAGACAAAGACUCGGUCCACGGAGACAAAGACUCGGCCCACGGAGACAAGGACUCGGGCCACAGGAGACAAAGACUCGGUCCACACGAGACAAAGACUCGGUCCACUGAGACAAAGACUCGGUCCACAGGAGACAAAGACUCGGCCCACGGAGACAAAGACUCGGCCCACGGAGACAAGGACUCGGCCCACGGAGACAAGGACUCGGUCCACAGGAGACAAAGACUCGGCCCACGGAGACAAAGACUCGGUCCAUACGACACAAAGACUCGGUCCACAGGAGACAAAGACUCGGCCCACGGAGACAAAGACUCGGUCCACAGGAGACAAGGACUCGGUCCACAGGAGACAAGGACUCGGUCCACAGGAGACAAAGACUCGGUCCACAGGAGACAAGGACUCGGCCCACGGAGACAAAGACUCGGUCCACGGAGACAAAGACUCGGCCCACGGAGACAAGGACUCGGCCCACGGAGACAAGGACUCAGUCCACAGGAGACAAAGACUCGGCCCACGGAGACAAAGACUCGGUCCAUACGACACAAAGACUCGGUCCAUACGACACAAAGACUCGGUCCACAGGAGACAAAGACUCGGCCCACGGAGACAAAGACUCGGUCCACAGGAGACAAGGACUCGGUCCACAGGAGACAAAGACUCGGUCCACAGGAGACAAAGACUCGGCCCACGGAGACAAAGACUCGGUCCACGGAGACAAAGACUCGGCCCACGGAGACAAGGACUCGGCCCACGGAGACAAGGACUCGGUCCACAGGAGACAAAGACUCGGCCCACGGAGACAAAGACUCGGUCCAUACGACACAAAGACUCGGUCCACAGGAGACAAAGACUCGGUCCACAGGAGACAAGGACUCGGUCCACAGGAGACAAAGACUCGGUCCACAGGAGACAAAGACUCGGUCCACAGGAGACAAAGACUCGGUCCACACGAGACAAAGACUCGGCCAACGGAGACAAAGACUCGGUCCACAGGAGACAAAGACUCGGCCCACGGAGACAAAGACUCGGUCCACACGAGACAAAGACUCGGUCCACAGGAGACAAAGACUCGGCCAACGGAGACAAAGACUCGGUCCACAGGAGACAAAGACUCGGUCCACAGGAGACAAGGACUCGGUCCACAGGAGACAAAGACUCGGUCCAUACGACACAAAGACUCGGUCCACAGGAGACAAAGACUCGGCCCAUACGACACAAAGACUCGGUCCACAGGAGACAAAGACUCGGCCCACGGAGACAAAGACUCGGUCCACAGGAGACAAGGACUCGGUCCACAGGAGACAAAGACUCGGUCCAUACGACACAAAGAUUCGGUCCACAGGAGACAAAGACUCGGCCCAUACGACACAAAGACUCGGUCCACAGGAGACAAAGACUCGGCCCACGGAGACAAAGACUCGGUCCACAGGAGACAAGGACUCGGUCCACAGGAGACAAAGACUCGGUCCAUACGACACAAAGACUCGGUCCACAGGAGACAAAGACUCGGCCCACGGAGACAAAGACUCGGCCCAUAUGA
ensembl:lncRNA